CUAUGUCUCCAGGUUAGAGGUAGGUGCUUCAUCUGGGGUACCACAGUCAGUGACUCUUUUGCUCCCUCCCACAUCCUGGAUGCUGCGGUAAAUGGGACAGUCAUUGCUACUGUAGCCAAAUGGAACAAAACCCUAAAGUAUCGGGACCUGGCAGUGAACUAUAUUUUCCAGCCUGUGACGUUUGGAAUGACUGGGUCACUAACCACGAAGUUCUUGUCAUCAUUGGCAGCUCGCCUCACCGCAUGUAACCUUAACUUUGACUAAGGCCGCUGCAUAUAACCUUGAAAUCAAACAGUGACUGAAGACAGACUAUGCAGAACUAAAACAACAGCGGACACCUUCUACAAAGACAUGAUAAUUGGGAAGUCAAACCGCCAAUCCUUCGGUAUUAGUAGACGACGCCAUUCACGCUCUUGUUUAGCCUAACCUCUUUAUCUAUGUCAUAAGGGAAACUUGUGUGGGUGAUCGGCGUCGUCUACUAGUAACGAAGGAUUGCUGACAAAUCGAAUUGUGGAUAGAAGGUGCGUACACAAAAGGCUAUAAGAACCAUAUUUCCUCUAUAAGGCCUCUGAUAUACGAAUGGAACUAUAAUACACACACAUACAUACAUAUAUAUAUAUAUAUAUAUAUAUAUUUGUCUAGACACACACACUCACAACAAACUUAUGGUGCAUUACAAAGCGUCGUAAAAGGGUAAGAGAGAUGGCAGAAAGCAGUAUUGUCAGGUGAAGAAAUACAGCUAUAAUAACCAAAAAUCGAGAACACAGAACAAAUGCCGGACGAAAAACGAGAAGAGAUUUUAAAGCUACGUUAUUUUGCUAAGGUUAAUAAACUGAAAAAAAUGUGGAAAAAUUAAUAUUUAUAUAUACAAAGGAAAGAAUUGUUGGGUGAAACAGAUGAUAGCGUGAAGAUAUUUAAAUUUAUUAAAGCUCAACAACGGAAGUCACGUGGAAGUUUGUUGUUGUUCCCAUGCUUACCUGCAGAAGUAAUGAUGUGUCCAAGGGGAAAGGAUGGAUCCUCUGUUGCUGCUAACACCAACCAACAGCUCUUGGGACAAAUAUCUGGCAGAUCUUCGAAAUUAACCCACAAUGAUAUUCAGCACGGCUGCAGUUCAAUGACACCUGGCUACUCUGGUUAUGCACUGUUACCUGCUCUGCACCUUUUUGACGAAUGACUUCUAACACAAACUUUCUCAUAUACUUCAUCUUCAUUUUCUGAUUUGUCCACCACAUCACAUUUGCAGAAAUGUGUUCUCAGAAAGGAAUCCUUGCCUUGAUACUCAAGGAUUUAUUGAAGUCCUGUACUAGAAGCUGUCUUAAUUAUCAGGUGGAUUUGAAACUCAAGGCUGCAUCAGCAUAAGGCGUGAAAUUUCAGGGCAGAUAGGGUAGGUCGAUUACAUCGACUCCGGUGUGUAACUGGUACUUAUUUUAUCGACCCCGAAAGGAUGAAAAGCAAAGUCGACCCCUGUGGAAUUUGAACUCAGAACGCAAAACUUAUUAGGUGUCAGCAAGAAGACCAUGCUUGUUUACUCGGCAUUCACAGGAAUUCUUCUGUUUUCCAUGUUAUGUGUGAUAAUUGCAAUAUAUGAUCCUUGCAAUGGAAGAUCCGUUAGGGACAGUUUGUGUGAAUUGUAUGAAGAUGGAAUGGUAUCUGGUAGAUUGUGUUAUUCUUUGUGUAAAGAGAGGGUGCCGGUGUUGUCAAAUUGCUUAAAACAGCAGCCAAACCUCAAGGUAUGUUAACGUUCGCAUUCACAUUUACAAUGCAAU